GGGGAUGUAGCUCAGAUGGUAGAGCGCUCACUUAGCAUGUGAGAGUUACGGGGACAUCCUUGCAUUUCCA
rnacentral:tRNA from 1 species